CAAAAACAUGUCUUUAUGAUAUUAUAUAAAGUUUAACCUGCCCACUGAAUAUAUUAAAUGGCUGCAGUAUAUUGACUGUACAAAGGUAGCAUAAUAAUUAGUUUUUUAAUUGAAAACUAGAAUGAAUGGUUGGAUGAGAUAUAAACUGUUUUUUUUUAAAAUUAAUAGAAUUUUAUUUUUAAGUAAAAAAGCUUAAAUAUAUUUAAAAGACGAGAAGACCCUAUAAAUCUUUAUAUAUUUAUUAAAUAUAAAAAUAAAGUAAUUUUAUAAUUAUUUAUUAAAUAUAUUUUAUUGGGGUGAUAAUAAAAUAUAAUAAACUUUUAUUAAUUUAUAACAUUGAUUUAUGAAUAAAUGAAUAAUUAUUAUUGAUAAUAAAAUAAGUUACUUUAGGGAUAACAGCGUAAA
rnacentral:rRNA from 1 species